rnacentral:rRNA from 1 species
AUUGAACGCUGGCGGCAGGCCUAACACAUGCAAGUCGAACGAGUGGCGGACGGGUGAGUAAUGUCUGGGAAACUGCCUGAUGGAGGGGGAUAACUACUGGAAACAGUAGCUAAUACCGCAUACCAUCGGAUGUGCCCAGAUGGGAUUAGGUAGUAGGUGAGGUAAAGGCUCACCAAGCCGACGAUCCCUAGCUGGUCUGAGAGGAUGACCAGACACACUGGAACUGAGACACGGCCCAGACUCUUACGGGAGGAAGCAGUGGGGAAUAUUGCACAAUGGGCGCAAGCCUGAUGCAGCCAUGCCGCGUGUAUGAAGAAGGCCUUCGGGUUGUAAAGUACUUUCGGUGGGGAGGCGUUACCUGCAGAAGAAGCACCGGCUAACUCCGUGCCAGCAGCCGCGGUAAUAC